rfam:Flavobacterium sp. FPG59 Contig_139, whole genome shotgun sequence.
UUUUAGCCCUGAUGGCAGCGGCAUCCUUUUUAUUCGCCUUUUUUCGGCGAAUAAAAAGAUAUAGCGUACAGCAGGAACGAUA